AAUAAUCCAGAGUACAUAUUUUAUAAUACACAACGGAAAAAUCAAAUUGAACACCAAUGAGUCCAUCAACGCCAUAGGCUUGUUGAGUAUAGACCCGCGACCCUGCGUAACCUUUCUUCAUACGUCAACAUCUGCACAUGAUAGGUGUAGCUCAGUACAUUGAAUGUACUUGCAAGUAGAUACCUGUGUGGUUAGGAGAAAUGCAAAUACAUGCUUAAGGAUAAGUCCUAAAUAGGCUUCUACGGUUUCUUUUGCAAAAGGACAGUUUUGGAGUUUGAAAUAAUCAUAAUACUUUUUCUUUAGAAAACUCUAUCUCUAGAAUUUUGUAGAAAAUAGUUUUUGAAAACUAAUAUGUCAAGUGGAAUCUGCACCACAAGACUUAACUCUGUGAUCUGCCAUCAGUGCUUCGAUGACUCUCAAAGCUUUCCCUUACUAUGCAUUCUGGGUCAAACUGACACUUGCAUAGUAACCCUGACUCAUUCUGUGGAUACUUCCAUCGAGUAGAAACUCAUUCUGUGGAUACCAUCGAGUCAAAACAGUUUUUGGUUUUUGAAAACAAAACUAGAAGAUCUCCUCUUGACCAGACUUAGUAGCUCAAUUCGCCCGUAACCAGGGGCAUGACUAAUCGAUUAGAUUGACACUUUGCAGAGGUUUGUACACUUUGCCCACCAGACAGAAUCAGUCCAAAGUGUUGCCUAACGACAAUCGUGCGCAACAGGUAAAGAUUGUGACGAAAUCUUUCACUAGAAGCCCACUAUACUUAAUCCUGGCACCGCCUGCCCCAUAUGAGCACAUUGGCCCCUCUCCAGAUGACGAUACCUAAGUAAGGGUUUCCCGCUAGUUACUCGACUAAGCCAGAGCCAUAAUAGCAAGUGGUUGUAUAGGUAAGCUUUUGGGUUCAUUGGAAAACACUUGAACUUUUUGAUACUGGACGAUGGUCCCCACCGAAAAUCCUGAGCAUCUGCAGAGCCGAACUGGAUGCUGCCCUUGUCGACAACCAAAAAUGGUCUCAGACAUACCAUUCCGCCCAGUGGAAAACAUUUUUGGGUUUUAUUUUGAAAAUAUUUUUUGAAAACACUCUUGCUCAUAGCAUGAGACUUUCUUUUCGAAAUUUUUUGUACCCGCCUGAUACAAUAUAUAGCGAGCAAGUUUGAAAACAUACAUACUAUAAUCUUAGGGUAAUUGGUGGCAUGACAAACAACCUGUAGGCAUACUACAUAGGUCAUAACUAAUAAUUUGCAAACGCAUUUUGGAAAUACUUUAUAGAGAAUAAGACCUACAUAUGAAUUCUUACAAUUUGUAGAACAAACUUGCCUUGGCCUGUGUUGAUACAAACUUCUUCUUCACGACAUUCGGUACAAUCACACUCCGAAUCAUCUAUCGUGAAGAACAAAUAACAACAAUAACCACAUUGUUCGAUAACUCCAAAUAAAUCCAAAUGAAGAACCAAAAGUGAUAAUCAACGAUUAUCUUUAUUGCUAAAGCAUAGGAUAGGGUUUUAGAAAGAAUGGAUAUGGUUUGAUAGGUAUUAUAACUAAGGAAUAAAUACUAAGCCCUUAAUAUCCCACAUGUUUUAUUUAUGAAAACAUGAACAAUGCACAUCUCACGAUUCAACUAAAUUAUGGCAAGAUAUGCAAGAUUAUGACAAAGCUAUCAUGUAAACUAUGCAUCUUAGGUGAACAUGAUAGAUAAUAGAAAGCAUCAAGUUAAUUGUUGUUCUAGCAUGCUAUGCUGCUGUUAUUUAGUUAAAUUAAUUAAUUUGAAUGCAUCUAUGCAAUGCAAACACAACUAUACAUUUAAUUUAUCAAUGCAAAUUGAUAAAGCUACAUGAGAGUUAAUUUUAUUAGUUGUUGCUUAUUAACAUGCAAAGGCUAGUUAUGACAUAAACCUCAUGAUGCAAUUUAUAGGUAUGAAAAUAGAUUUACACAAACUACUUUAGUGAUACCCAGACCUAGAAAAGAUAGAUAAAGAACCUAGAGUUUAUGAUAAUCAAGAUUAGAAAAUAAUCUCUAAGUUGUUUGGGACAAUAUAGAGAAAGGAAAACUAAUCUAAAUGAGUUGAAGACAAGGACAUGUUUGAUCAGAUCAUAACAUGUGAUAGAUGCAAAGGAAACUCGGAUUAGAAAUAAGAAACUUGGAUUAGAAAUCAAUACAAAAGGCUAGGAUUGAAUUGGAGUUGAAACGGUGAAGUUCUGGCUGUUAACAGAUACAAACUACUAUGGAUCAUGGGAUACUGUAGAUGAAGAUUAAAAGGUGCACAAAGGGGUUCAGAAUGUGGGGUUUGAUGUAUUAUUGUCAAUACAGAAAGAAUCAUCUAAUUUGGAGCAAUGGAUCAAAAGAUAGGGACUUCGAAAUACAGGUAAUCAAUGUUUCAACACAGAUAGCAUGUAACAGUGUUAACAGAUAGCAACUUCGGUUGACGAUGCACUAGUGUAGAUGAUACAAAACUUGUGCAAUAAGUAAACUGAUGUGUAGAACAUGAUGUAGUAGAUAAUGUUCUGAAGGUUUGAGACCAAACGGAUCUAUGGAAUAUUCUACACGAAUUUUGAAACAUGGCUAAUCCAGAAGCAGGAUGCUGUGAAUAGCAACUUCAGAUAAAUAUUAACUACUGAAGAUAAUCCAUACGGGGCAUGCAAACUGAUCUAAUAUUUAGAGCACGACGUGGUAUAAGCAUAGCAGAAAGAAUCGGCUAAAUAGGAUUUACGGUUGACAAUCUACAAGCUACCGAAGUAGGCUAAGCAAAACAGACCGCAACUCGAAAACAGAGCAAGAAAGCUCACCGGAGAAGAUGAAGUUCGCCAGAGUUGAUGGGAUUCGGCGAAACAAAGGUUUUCGAAGACAAGGCUGUGGUGGAUGGUGUUCUAGGCGUCGAUAAAGAUCUAGUGGAGUUGGUGGCUUGGGUUAAUUUGGGGCGAGAUGGUAGGAAUUGCUUGCCAGAGUUUGUGUGGAAACGGCGACGAAACUUGAGAUUGGUGGCAAGACUGACUGCGGCUUCGAGCUAGGUUUCGAGGGAUUGGUCAGGGAUCUCGAGGGCGUCAGGUUGGGGGUAUUUAUAGGGCGCGGGGCGCUCGGGAUAAGGCCAGCGGCGGGGAUCAGUUUCGCUUAAAAUUCGAAUGAGAUAGAGUCCGGGAUGGUUUCAAUCUUGUUGGGGUAGAUUCCUUGACGUGAGGGUCACGAAUUAGAGCAGAAAACGCGAAGGAAAACGGUUCAGAUUAUGGACUCAGAGGUGGUGGCGGCCAUGGAUUCCGGUAGGAGCUUGGGCUCGGGCCGGGGAAGGUUGGGCGCGAGGCAGGAGAGGCACGGGCUGGGCUGGCGGCGUCCGGUGGCGAGGUGCGGAGGAGGCCAAGUGGCGCGGCAGCCAGCUAGGGCGAGCUGGGGCAGAGCUGGCCGUGGAAGGCCAUGGAGGGCUGCUGCAGUACAUGCAGAGAGGUAGAAGAAAGAGAGGAGAGAGAAGAGAGAAAAAGAAAAAGAGAGAAAAGAAAAGAAAAUAAAGAGAAAAGAAUUGGGCGGACGGAUGAGAGAUGGAUGGCUGAAAUUAGAACUUACCCAUUCGGAGCACUUAGGUGGAAACGAGUUUCAGUAAAAUACGUCUCCUCGCAGGGAAAACGUACUCCGCGGAAGAAAUAGAAAAUGAAAUAAAAGAAAUAGCUUUUCUCAAUAUCUAAAUCGUCAGAAAUUCACAUAAGGCAAAUAAAAUACCAAACGGAUUCGGAAAAAAUCCUGAAAAUUCCAGGAAUGCUAAUUAACUGUUUAGAACGCAAGAAAAGUAAUUUCCUCAUGGAAUAAAAUAUUUCAAUAGGUUUUAUUGCACAUGAACGUCAAAUAAAUUCCAAAUAAAUCCAAAAAAAAAUAUACCUACGUUCCAAUAAAUUGCCAAAGGGUAUGUAACACAAAAUAAAGAUUAGGUGUAUCAAAUUGAAUGUUCUCCAACUUUAUAAUCUGGAAAGUCACAUUAUUCAUUCUCAUUAACAAAUGGACAAGUGUUGGAAAAAAAAAUCAUAUAAUUGAUUUUAACGCCAAACCAAGAACAUGCAGAGUUUUGAAAAUGUUUUCCCAACUAUAGGAUGGUCAUGUUAUUCCCUCUUUUAACAUUUAAUAAAUGUUGGUAAACUUUUGAAUUGAUUCAAAAAUUCCAAUGAUGCUCUCGAAUGGUCAUGGCAUCCA
rnacentral:lncRNA from 1 species